rnacentral:rRNA from 1 species
UACAGAGGGUGCGAGCGUUGUUCGGAAUUACUGGGCGUAAAGCGCGUGUAGGCGGCGUUAUAAGUCGAAUGUGAAAGCCCUUGGCUUAACCAAGGAAGUGCAUUCGAUACUGUAGUGCUUGAGUACCGGAGGGGAUGGCGGAAUUCCUGGUGUAGAGGUGAAAUUCGUAGAUAUCAGGAGGAACACCUGUGGCGAAGGCGGCCAUCUGGACGGUGACUGACGCUGAGACGCGAAAGCGUGGGUAGCGAACAGGG